rnacentral:rRNA from 1 species
UAUUGGACAAUGGGGGGAACCCUGAUCCAGCGACGCCGCGCGAGUGAAGAAGUAUUUCGGGAUGUAAAGCUCUAUCAGCAGGGAAGAAAGAAAUGACGGUACCUGACUAAGAAGCCCCGGCUAACUACGUGCCAGCAGCCGCGGUAAUACGUAGGGGGCAAGCGUUAUCCGGAUUUACUGGGUGUAAAGGGAGCGUAGACGGUAGUGCAAGUCUGGAGUGAAAGGCGGGGGCCCAACCCCCGGACUGCUCUGGAAACUGUGCGACUAGAGUGCAGGAGAGGUAAGUGGAAUUCCCAGUGUAGCGGUGAAAUGCGUAGAUAUUAGGAGGAACACCAGUGGCGAAGGCGGCUUACUGGACUGUAACUGACGUUGAGGCUCGAAAGCGUGGGGAGCAAACAGG